GCCCCAGUAGCUCAGCAUGGAAGAGCAGCGGUUUCCUAAACCGCGUGUCGCCCGUUCGACUCGGGCCUGGGGCA
rnacentral:tRNA from 1 species